AACGAACGCUGGCGGCGUGGCUAAGGCAUGCAAGUCGAACGGUACGGUGAAGCAAUUUGCCGUAUAGUGGCGGACGGGUGAGUAAUCCAUGGAUAACGUACCUCGGAUUCAGGGAUAACGGCGGGCCGAGCAAUCGGUCCUUUGCGAAAGUGCCGCUAAUACCUGAUGACCCCGCGGAGUCGCAUGAUUCUGCGGGCAAAGUUCCGGCGAUCCGAGAGCGGUCCAUGCCUAUCAGCUAGUUGGCAGGGUGAUGGCCUACCAAGGCUUAGACGGGUAUCGGGUAUGAGAGUACGGCCCGACACAUCGGAACUGAGAUACUGUCCGGACACCUACGGGUGGCUGCAGCAACGAAUAUUCCGCAAUGGCGCAAGCCUGACGGAGCGACGCCGCGUGCAGGAUGAAGUCCCUCGGGAUGUAAACUGCUUUCAGGGGGAAGAAAUUAUGAUCUACCCAGAAGAAGCCUCGGCUAACUUCGUGCCAGCCGCCGCGGU
rnacentral:rRNA from 1 species